rnacentral:rRNA from 1 species
GACGAACGCUGGCGGCGUGCUUAACACAUGCAAGUCGAACGGAAAGGCCCUGCUUUUGUGGGGUGCUCGAGUGGCGAACGGGUGAGUAACACGUGAGUAACCUGCCCUUGACUUUGGGAUAACUUCAGGAAACUGGGGCUAAUACCGGAUAGGAGCUCCUGCUGCAUGGUGGGGGUUGGAAAGUUUCGGCGGUUGGGGAUGGACUCGCGGCUUAUCAGCUUGUUGGUGGGGUAGUGGCUUACCAAGGCUUUGACGGGUAGCCGGCCUGAGAGGGUGACCGGCCACAUUGGGACUGAGAUACGGCCCAGACUCCUACGGGAGGCAGAAGGGGGGAAGAUUGCACAAUGGGCGGAAGCCUGAUGCAGAAACGCCGCGUGCGGGAUGACGGCCUUCGGGUUGAAAACCGCUUUCGCCUGUGACGAAGCGUGAGUGACGGUAAGGGGUAAAGAAGCACCGGCUAACUACGUGC